GGGGUUGUGGCUCAGUGGUAGAGCGCUCGUCUAACAUGUGUGAGGCUCUGAGUUCAAGCCUCAGUAGUACAU
rnacentral:tRNA from 1 species